GUGGAGGUUCAAAAGGAUACUUAAAACCCCUUCAUCGCAUCUUUUGGGAGUGGAGAGCAUAGGGAUGUGCCUAUCUAAUUUUUUCGAUGUUUUAAAGAGGUGCCUUGGAGCAGAAGGGCUCCUAUGCGCCUUUUGGCCAUCAAAUAUCCAUGCCACCUCACUUUGGCUAUGGAUUUCAAGCCAAAAACCCAAUGGGAUGUGAGAAGAGAAAGAGGAUGUGCCAU
rnacentral:lncRNA from 1 species